UUCUACAUCAUCUACUGAUAAAACAAGAAAUGGUCAUAGACCAAUUGAAGAUCAUCCUGAGAACUGUUCAGGCUAUACAAGGAAGUACUGGAGGUCCAAGCGAGCAAGAUUUUGAUGAAGGGGCACUGCCGCUUACAGAUCUUGAGUCACUGCUUGAUCUGGAGAAUGUUCUGAAAAAUGAACAAGAGCUCAAAAACAAAAUGAUCAAUGCUUUGGGGCUUAAUGGAGAGGUGGACCUGAAGGAUACUGUGUGGUGAAUUAUGAACUGUGGCUAACUCUGGCCAAGAAGUUGAACUGGCGGGGCAUAAAUGGGAAAACGGCAUUCAACAGCUUGUUACUAAAAGAUGUGAUUGCUGGAGCUGUUAGAAGAAAUCAGCUCACCAGACUGGCAGCAAAUCAAGAAAUUGAGUUCUACAUAAAAAGAUGGCUACAUUUAGCAAUAGACAGAGAAGGAGGGAGGAAGUUACGGCAGGAGAGACGGUCUGUCUUGUAAGGUCCCCCCCCCCCCCACCUUCUUAUCAUUUGUAGCUCUCUGGUCCUACUUGGAUGCUGUCUAUGCAACGGACAUAAAGAGAGAAUUUCUCUUUGUUAACUUUGGACUGUUUGAUUGUUAAAGAUGUUGGUGCUGUUUCCAAAUAUUCACUUGUUCCAGAGUUUCAUUCUGACCAUUGUAUUGGACGGAGAAGAAGAAAGGAAGUUACGGCAGCAAUAACAUUAGUUAUUUUUGGUUUUAAAGAAAUACAAGUAUUGUGUGCAGCUAUGAUUUCAGUGUUUAUUUUAAAUGUUUACUGGACAGGGCAAUGGAAAGAGAAAGCAGGACAGUAGUUUGAA